UACGUAGGGACCAAGCGUUGUCCGGAAUCAUUGGGCGUAAAGAGCGUGUAGGCGGCUCGAUAAGUCUGCUGUGAAAGUCCAGGGCUCAACCCUGGAAGGCCGGUGGAAACUGUCGGGCUAGAGUCCGGAAGAGGCGAGUGGAAUUCCUGGUGUAGCGGUGAAAUGCGCAGAUAUCAGGAAGAACACCCGUGGCGAAGGCGGCUCUCUGGGACGGUACUGACGCUGAGACGCGAAAGCGUGGGGAGCGAACAGG
rnacentral:rRNA from 1 species